AUUAAUAACCGAGGUCGAGAACCUCAAAUAAUUAAU
rfam:Arenitalea lutea strain CGMCC 1.12213 genome assembly, contig: Ga0079849_101